UACCGGAGGAUCCGAGCGUUAUCCGGAUUUAUUGGGUUUAAAGGGUGCGCAGGCGGGAGAUUAAGUCGGCGGUGAAAUUUUGCAGCUCAACUGUAAAAGUGCCUUCGAAACUGGUUUCCUUGAGUGUAGAUGAAGUAGGCGGAAUUUGUGGUGUAGCGGUGAAAUGCAUAGAUAUCACGAGGAACUCCGAUUGCGCAGGCAGCUUACUAAACUACUACUGACGCUCAGGCACGAAGGCGUGGGGAUCAAACAGGAUUAGAUACCCCCGUAGUCCCU
rnacentral:rRNA from 1 species